CAAGGAGCUGGUGCCAGCCCCUCCCUCCCCGGCACUGAGGCGUCCGUGGGGGCUAGAUUAUUCCUCCUUUUCUUCCAAGCUGUCCUGAAUCCCCACGAGGCCCUGGCUCAGCCUCUUCCCACCACAGGCACACCAGGGUCAGAAGGGGGGACGGUGAAGAACUAUGAGACAGCUGUCCAAUUUUGCUGGAAUCAUUAUAAGGAUCAAAUGGAUCCUAUCGAAAAGGAUUGGUGCGACUGGGCCAUGAUUAGCAGGUAGGGGCAGUGAUGGAGGGUGGCUCAGGCCAGGGGGUGGACCUGCUCAUUGCAGGUAGACCCUGAGUGAGAGUGGGGCACUCUUCUCCCUGGGUCCACCCCCUCUCUCACUCAAGUCCUCUUCUGCCCCUAGGCCUUAUAGCACCCUGCGAGAUUGCCUGGAGCACUUUGCAGAGUUGUUUGACCUGGGCUUCCCCAAUCCCUUGGCAGAGAGGAUCAUCUUUGAGACUCACCAGAUCCACUUUGCCAACUGCUCCCUGGUGCAGCCCACCUUCUCUGACCCCCCAGAGGAUGUACUCCUGGCCAUGAUCAUAGCCCCCAUCUGCCUCAUCCCCUUCCUCAUCACUCUUGUAGUAUGGAGGAGUAAAGACAGUGAGGCCCAGGCCUAGGGGGCCACGAGCUUCUCAACAACCAUGUUACUCCACUUCCCCACCCCCACCAGGCCUCCCUCCUCCCCUCCUACUCCCUUUUCUCACUCUCAUCCCCACCACAGAUCCCUGGAUUGCUGGGAAUGGAAGCCAGGUGGGGUCAUGGCACAA
rnacentral:lncRNA from 1 species